AGUGAACGCUGGCGGUAGGCCUAACACAUGCAAGUCGAACGGCAGCACAGUAAGAGCUUGCUCUUACGGGUGGCGAGUGGCGGACGGGUGAGGAAUACAUCGGAAUCUACUUUUUCGUGGGGGAUAACGUAGGGAAACUUACGCUAAUACCGCAUACGACCUACGGGUGAAAGCAGGGGAUCUUCGGACCUUGCGCGAUUGAAUGAGCCGAUGUCGGGUUAGCUAGUUGGCGGGGUAAAGGCCCACCAAGGCGACGAUCCGUAGCUGGUCUGAGAGGAUGAACAGCCCAACUUGAACUGGGGAACGGUCCAGACUCCUAAGGGAGGCAGCAGUGGGGAAUAUUGGGCAAUGGGGGGAAGGCUGAUCCAGCCAAACCGCGUGGGUGAAGAAAGCCUUCGGGUUGUAAAGCCCUUUUGUUGGGAAAGAAAAGCAGCAGGUUAAUACCCCGCUGUUCUGACGGUACCCAAAGAAUAAGCACCGGCUAACUUCGUG
rnacentral:rRNA from 1 species